rnacentral:rRNA from 1 species
UGGCGGACGGGUGAGUAACGCGUGGGUAACCUACCCUGUACAGGGGGAGUAACAGUCAGAAAUGACUGCUAAUACCGCAUAAGACCACAGCACCGCAUGGUGCAGGGGUAAAAACUACCGGUGGUACAGGAUGGACCCGCGUCUGAUUAGCUGGUUGGUGAGGUAACGGCUCACCAAGGCGACGAUCAGUAGCCGGCUUGAGAGAGUGAACGGCCACAUUGGGACUGAGACACGGCCCAAACUCCUACGGGAGGCAGCAUG